AUAACCUGGUCGGUUUUCUUUUGUGGUGUGUGUUUAUAUUGUGCGAGUUCUGUUCUUUUGUUCUGCGGUAAAUCUUGUUGUUGUUUGCUGUUUAGGUCUAUGUUCCCUUUAUGAGCUGUAACGCACACCAUGAAGGUCUGCGGCUUGGCUAUUGAGUCAGUGAGAGCGUGAACCUACUAUUAGAAGAAAAACUCUGAAUACGUCUGAACGUCAGAAAGAACGAAGUUUGGACACAUUGUCUUUAAGAACUGUAACACUCACCCCAAGGGUUUAUGGAUUCAUUCUUGAAAUCAGUGAAACCAAAAGCUUUCCAAAGUUUAACACACAGGGAAAUGACUUACUGCAAAGAACCACUCUUCCCCACGAGACUUCGAGAAGACCCGCUGUCACGGACUGAGUUGUGUCCUCUUAAAAUUCAGAUGUUGGAGUCCAAACCCCCAGUAACUCAGAGUGUGAACGUAUUUGAAGAGGUCUUUAAAGAGGUGAUGAAGGGAGAGAGACCCCAUGAGCUCGUCAAGCUCCUUCUGUGACUGAUCAGAGAUCCCACCGUGAGUCCAGCUCCUGGUCCCAUGCUCUGGAUAUAUCGGUCCCUGGCAGCGUGAGUGCCUCUGUGUUCACUGUCCCAUUUGAGAAUUCUAAGUAGAAUUCUGAACAGGCUGGAGCAGAUUGCCCACCCCAAGGGACAGAUGUUGGCUGGUACUGUUGGUAUUCAUGGAAGAUUCCUUCUGACACUCCCUCCUUCUUUGUAAUUGCCAUGAACUGGAGCACUGGGCCAAUAUAAAUCAUCCAAGGGUGAACACGCUGCACAUGGACGGCUCCUCUUUGUUUUUGAAGGGAUUCCAUCUCUAUUUUGCCAUGUGCUCCUUCACCCCACUCCCCACCCCCGUCUUUCAUUUCUUUCUCUGGAAAAGAUACUUCAACUCACAGGACUGCGAUGUUGAAACGGACACCCAAGAGCAUCACAGAUGGGCCAGGCCUGGACCUCUCGGGACAACAUUCCUCACGACUUUUAGAUAGAAGAGAUUAGAGAUUUGGGACUGGUGGCAACUGGUAACGUUUUCAGUGUUUGGUAAACAGCCAGGGUCCGGAGCUCUGGGAACAGCCUGAUUUAGCUCUUUGUUUAAGUUUUGUGUUAGAGGCUCCCAAGAAGCUGAUGCAGGGGAAAGAAAUUAACAACCAUGGCUCAUUCACAGCCAGGCAGCCAAAUGGACAGCUCUAUAAGACUCAAGCCGACAGCGGAGAGAGUGCAACCAAACAGCCUUGGCCCAGCUUUCAGAGGAGAACGUUAUUCACCCCAACUGCUCUGCAUCUGCCUGGAUGUCUGCCAAGAUCUGUGAGCAUUACAGCGUUGGUAUGCUUUGGGUGAGGCCUGUGGCUAUGGCAACAAGUUGGGAGCAACCCGGUCCCUGGGAAUGAGAACAGUGUCUAAAAUCAGGCAGGCGAGGGGCAGGGAGGAGAGGUAAAGGUUGGACUUGCCUGAAGAUGGAGCCGUUUUAUUGUUGUGGGUAAAGCUGCUACCAUUAGGGGCUGUUUACAGAGUGGGUGCAGCUCAAGCUGGGAGCAUGUUAGACUCAGCGACUACGAUCAACCUAUUGACUUGUUCCCAUGAGACAGAGUAAAUUAACUGUUGCAGUACUGGUCAUGUACCACCAACCUCCUGUGAACCAGCCCUCAGUGAAACAUUUAUGUGAAAGGCCAUGGUGUUCCCAUAAGAGGGUGCAUGUUCUCUCCCUUGACUAACUCUUCAGUAUGCCUCAUUCUCACGCGCUGGUGUGCAGGAAGGAGUCCAACAUGCCCCAUUGACAGUCAUGCCCUGUAUGUGGAAAGUCUUCAGGUAGAGCACUGGGCUCAGGUUUGAAGAUGUGAGUUCUAAUCCUAGCAAGGCCAUUACCUCCCAGUGACCUCAUGUCUCGAUUUCCUCAACCACAAAACAAAGGCAUUGGUGAGCUGACCUCUAAGGCCUCUCCAGUUCUCACCUUCUGUGUCUCUACAGACUGGAGACUAGAAGAUUAUGGGCACUUUUAUUGAGUCUUCAUUUUGUUUCCAUUUCUUUGUAGUCAUCAGCUGGAGUUGAGGACAAGUUUUAACAAUAGAUAGGUUUCUUUUUGUCUCUUUUUAAAAAAUUUUAUUUAAAAUAAAUGCCAAGUGUAGUGGCUCAUACCUGUAAUCCCAGCACUUUGGGGAGGCCAAGGUGGGAGGAUUGCUUUUGAGUUUGAGACCAGCCUGGGCAACGUGGUGAGACCCUGUUUGUACAAAAAAUUUUAAAUUAGCCAGGCAUGGUGGCGUGUGCCUAUAGUCCUAGCUACUCUGGAGGUAGAGGCAGGAGGAUCCCUUGAACCUGGGAGGUUGAGGCCACAGUGAGCUGUGAUUGUGCUAUUGAACUCUAGCCUGGGCAACAGAGCAAGACCCUGUCUCUUAAAAAAGACUAUUUUUUAAGAACACUUUUAGGUUCACAGCGAAAUUUGGAGGAAACUUGGCAUAUGUCAUAUGCCCCCUGCUCCCAUGCAUGCACAGCCUCUACCAUUAGCAAUGUCCCCACUCAAAUGGUACCUUUGUUGUAAUCAACAACCCUGUACUGACACAUCAUCAUCACCCAAACUCCAUAGUUCACAUUAGGUUUCACUCUUGGUGUGGUGUACAUUCCAUGGGCUUGAACAACUGUAUAAUGACAUUAUCCACCACUGCAGGAUCAUACAGAGUAGUCUCACUGCCCUAAAACUACUCUGUGCUCCACCUGUUUGUCCCUUCUUUCACUCUAAACUCCUGGCAACAACUGACCUUUUUACUGCCUCGAUAGCUUUGCCUUCUUCGGAAUGUCAUGUAGUUGAAAUCAUACAUCAUGAAGCCUUUUCAGAUUGGCUUCAUAUAGGUUUCCUUCCUUCCUUCCUCCCACCACCUUCCUUUCUUUCUGUAUUCCUAACUCUUGGAUGUAUUUUCCCCAGCAUCAUGACUUGAUGGGACUUUUGCUAAGAUAGGCAAUCAUAGAAAGUCAUAAAUCUCUUGUCAGCCUUAUUGGCUCACCUCCGAGAUGGUUCCAACACUCUUUAAG
rnacentral:lncRNA from 1 species